rnacentral:rRNA from 1 species
CACUCCUGCGGGAGGCAGCAGUGGGGAAUUUUGGACAAUGGGCGAAAGCCUGAUCCAGCAAUGCCGCGUGCAGGAUGAAGGCCUUCGGGUUGUAAACUGCUUUUGUACGGAACGAAAAAGCUCCUUCUAAUACAGGGGGCCCAUGACGGUACCGUAAGAAUAAGCACCGGCUAACUACGUGCCAGCAGCCGCGGUAAUACGUAGGGUGCGAGCGUUAAUCGGAAUUACUGGGCGUAAAGCGUGCGCAGGCGGUUAUGUAAGACAGAUGUGAAAUCCCCGGGCUCAACCUGGGAACUGCAUUUGUGACUGCAUGGCUAGAGUACGGUAGAGGGGGAUGGAAUUCCGCGUGUAGCAGUGAAAUGCGUAGAUAUGCGGAGGAACACCGAUGGCGAAGGCAAUCCCCUGGACCUGUACUGACGCUCAUGCACGAAAGCGUGGGGAGCAAACAGGAUUAGAUACCCCAGUAGUCCCA